ensembl:lncRNA
CUCAGCUGUGCUCCUGGCUCUCCCAUUCUGCUCCAGGAACCAAUUUCUCCUUCCUCACUGUGCUUUAACUUCAGCUGAGCUCUCAUAAAGUUCUCUUUUAAAGCCUGUGUUUGAGCAUAGAAAAGCCUCAGAGAAGCCCUUCUUGCAACAUGCCUCAAGAUGCUGGAGGAGGAUGCUCCCCUUGGCUUCAGUCUGGGAGUCAGGAGCAGGCUGGGUACCCAGAUCCUUGCAAGGAGGGGGUCACACUGUGUCUUUUCCUGAACUGGGUCUACUGGCACCAGAUCCAGUCUUUCCCUGUGAGUACGCAGCCAGCAGGCUCGUUCCAGCUGUUCCUACUAGAGCUGUGCAAAUCACUGAUUUCUUUGGGUUGGCCCACAGAGCAGAACACUGACCAUGUUCAGUGUGAAAUGAAAGCAUCUCGGGCUUAAUCUGCUUAAAGUCAAGCAAUCUGGCCCCAACGUGGAGUUUC